CUCUUCAGGAAGUUGUUCAACAGCUUGCUAUGGGUGGAUCUGGGGCCGAUGGACUGGUACAACAUUAAACCUUAUCAAUGGGAUACAGAAUGUCUUCGAGGUUAUGCAUUUGCUGGUGAUGCAACUUGUUUUCCUUCACCUAUUGGUCUAGCAGCUACUAUAGAUUCAAACCUGAUUGAAAGACUUGCAAAUGUGAUAGGAUGGCAGACCAGAGUCCAGAGCAAAGGGAAAUUAUUUUAUGGCUCAUAAUGAUUAUGAUACUCACAUAAGGAAUGAGCUGUUUCUCUCCCUUUAUUAAUAUUAUGAGACAUCCUCUGUGGGGAAGAAAUCAGCUUGCAUUAAAGCUGGAGUGAGUCUUGAGGUGACAUAUGUUGGUUCUGCUAAUAGAUUUUUCCUUCUCAAAGAAGCCCCUGAGAAAGGCUUGGUUGAAGAGAAGUUAGUGAGAGAAAGAGUGAAACCAUUGUUUUACACAAGAUUUAAACUCGGUCUGUUCGAUCUUCCUUCAAUAAAUCCUUAUGCAAACAUAUCAUUAGAUGUUGUCUCAAGUCCUGAGCAUUUGGAGUUGGCUAAUACUGUUGCUGCUAAGUCAUUUGUUUUGCUGAGGAGUGUUGCCUUUGAAGAAAUAUUUCGAGAAAGUCACUAUUCACCGAUGCUGGAGCCAGGUACGACGACAAUAUAUGUUGGUGGUCAACAACCUCACCAGGAAACUAAAGCAUCGUCCAAUGUUCUUACUGGAGAAUUUGUCAUCCAUGGUACACUGACACCUCUCAAUAAAUGUUUAUCUUAUAAAAGGCCUUAAAUUAUAUAUUAUUUCUAUCGAUUAAAUUGAAAUUGUUAUAUAAAAUAAAAACAAGCAGCAGCCAAUCUUGAUAUUUACUCUUUGUAAGAAAACUAAAUUUGAAGACUUGUGUCUUAAUAUGCUUUUUUUGUGUCACUUGUCACGCAGUUUAUGCUUGAUUUAAUAUGAGCUUUAUUGAUAAUUUUCGAGUAUGGUACAUACCAGGGUAACACAUGCGUGGUAUAUGUUUCACCAUUAUCGACGCGGAUGGAAGCUAUAUUUUUAUCCAACAGUGGCAAUGUACCAAUACAGAUAUUCUGAUACAUUACAACAGCCCAUGAUAUUGUUACUGACAUUUUAUGAGAAAUAUGAUACAAUAUAUAAUACUAAUGCUUUUUAUUCAGCUGUUUGUUAACAAUUUUCGAAGUUGAAGAGUAUCAAUCACAUCAAUUUUUUCCGCACAGUACGAACCCAUCUUCAAGAAUAUUUUGAUAAAUGAAGAGCCAUUCUCGUUUAAUAUUUUAAUCAAAUUUUCAACAGAAUGCAGUCCAAUUAAGUAAUUUAUUAUCUGAUUGAUGCCCUUUUGGUUCAUUAGCCACGAAAUCAUGUCACAUAUUAGUUCAUAUCUAUGGAAUAAUAUGGAUACAACUGUACACUUUCAGUAUUGAAUGACAUUAUUAUAUAUCUGAAUUUGUGUAAACAAAAUAUAUAUCACUAAGCAAUUGGACCCUUAUGCUGUGCACCAGGGAAAAAAUGUUCGUGCCAAAAUACUCAUGAAUUCUUAUGUACAAAUAUUUAUUCAGUUGGGUCUUAUAUAUAGCUACUCAACUAUUUAUUUUAUGAUUUGAUGACUACAAUCGAAGUAUGCCUUGAUUUUUUCAAAUAUGCAGUGUCAAAUAUAUGCAUGCAGUCGUGACCAAAGAUUUUUAUAUUAGUUACAUUGGGGGAUAUUCAAAUAUGUUUUCAACCCUGCAAUGGUCGCUCUAAAUGACAUCUAUAUAAAUAUUGAUGCUUAAAUUUUAUGAUAGAUUAUGAAAUCUUAUUGUUCGUUCACAGUGAACAAAAAAAUAUGGUUAGUUUGUAUUUUCAUGUAAAUCGAUUACCAUAUUAUAAUAUCGACCGCACCCUAUUUUUGAAAUAUGAGAUGGACUGUUCUGAAAAUUUUUAUAAAUAUUUCAUAGCGUUAUGUUUCUUGUUUCACAACUAGGGAUGUAAGUUUAAGAAUUUCGAAGCGAUUCGAAUCAACAUCAAUUCGAAUUGAGGCAAUUUGAGAAAAAACGGCUUGAUUCUAUUUAAAAAAAAUAAUAAUUUAGAUAACACGGGGCGAUUGCACGACGCAGCAGCGUUGUCUUAUCAUCGAAAAAAAAACGUUCAUUUUCCCUACGCUUACAGCGUUCCCAAGUCGUAACACUUCG